GAACAUUUAUUCUACCCACGUUUUUUUUUUUUUUUUUUUAACAAUCAUACACAUUUUUAUUUCCUCUAGUCUUUGUUUUUAGUUUUAGUGGAGACAUCACCCAAGAAGACUGCCAGUCGGUCCAGAUUCCAACACUAGUGUACCGCUGCUUUCCAGCUAUCGACGUUCGGUGCAGAAUAAUCGGGGUAAAAUGUGGACUUUUUAAUUGGCUCCUCUCACAGUGAUUCACAGUGACACUCUGGGUAUAUAUAUAUAUAUAUAUUGUACAUUUUAGUUAAACAAAAGUGUUCAGUGACACAGUGAGAAUAAAAAAUGCACUUUAUUUUCAUAUGAUUUUUAAUGGUAAAUGUGCCUCUGUUUAGUGUGGGGUUUUGAGCCUAGAAUCUGACUAUUGGCAACUAAAUGUAUGGUAUCCUAUAUUUUCAUUAUUAAAACCAGUGAAACCUGGUCAAAACCUCAACGCCUUCAAGACAUUUCCCAGGUUGUUGUUUUCUCAGCGCUGUUGAUGCUUUUCAAAUUGUUAUGCUGGAGCAGCAAUUAAACACACAAAAAAGGUCAAAUAUAAUUGCUUCUUUCGUAAGGAAGACAUCGACUGGCCGUGGUCUAAAGUGCAAUGAUGUCAUAGUUAUAAAAGCAAUGGUGAUAGAACGAUAAGCGUUUGUCUCACUGUACCGUAUUCCGUGACAGCGAGUUGACGUUAAAAGCAUUUUAAAUAUUGCAUACUGUGUUCAGUUCAACUGUGUACUCCUGACUCAUAGUCCCCAAGGUACGGAAUAGUGCAGCCUCAUAGUUAUAAACCUCUUUUCCUUGGUUGACAUCUUACCUAACUGGAUGAUUCACUGCGAACAAACCUGUUGUUCUGCUCUGCUUGUGUACUACUCGCACUAGAGACGCGUCACCUUGGACCAAAUCUCACAGCAACGUACAAGGCUACAAAUGAAAGGAUGAAAACAAGUUUGUUCUAUGGUGGUGGGAAUAGAUUAAGCUUGAAUUUUGAAUCUCAUCUUCCCCCGCAUAGACUUUAAAAUUCAGCAGCAGAGCGAGCGGGAAUGAGACCUGUCAGGAUAUCCAUCAUCGUUGUCGGGGGGAGAAAAGAGAAGAAAAAAAAAAAAAGAAAUCACAUCUGUAUUCAUCAAUAGACACGGGGCAAAAUGUGAACCUGCUUAUCAUCCCUCGUGGGUCGCCUGAAAGGGUCACUCUUGAAAAGUCAAAGACAGAGUUUGAAUGCUGAGACAGGGGGGGGGGGGGAGGGGGGGGCUGUGUUAUGUGAGGAGGAAACUCUUAUAGUGACCAAGGUUACAGAACAGAUGUGCUGCUUUGAAUCAGCCAUUACUCCGUCACUUUUGGCUGCCGCAGCCAAACAGCUCUUCUCGCGGUGACCCUGCUGUUGGAAACAAUCAGAAAUCAACAACCUUAAACUAAAUUCACUUGAAAUUGGGUUUAUUACGGAUCAAACCCAUCCAAUGAUGAUGUUCAUACAGCUGAGCUCAGGUUAUUAAAAAUGUCUGCCCUUCGCUUAGAUCCCUAAGGUCGUUUUAGAGGAGCCGCCCGAAGCCCGGAGGGUUAUCUUUGUACUUCACAGCUAUUUGUGUCCAAAAGAGCAAAACAAACAGAUUAACAGACCGAUUAAGAUUUGAGUCAACAACCACGCCGCUAUUUCAGCAACAAUCCGGUAAUCUGCUCCUGAAAAAAAGAGGACAGAGGAGUGAAAAUGUGUCGGGGAAGUUUUUUUUUUUUGUAAUCAUUUCCUUUGAGCUCAAAGUGCCCCAGUGGCAGAAGAAGAGGACAAACGAAUUAGAAGUAACCUCCCUGGAAUGGAGGGGGUCAGGUCUCUGCUACGAUCUUCCCCUCGUCACUUAACAGAGAACACUUUGCAUUCAGUGGCGCACGACCAAGAAAAGCGUGAAGUCAAAUAGCUGCAGAGUAGUUUCCCCACGCUGACCUCUACUAACAUCACACCAACUUACCGCACACAAUUACUUAUUGCCUUGCAAAACAAUGUCAAUGCAGCAUCUAAACAACCAUGUGCGGGUGGGAAUGUGUGUGCGGGUGAGUAGAACAAAUGGGAUUAGGUGGGGAGGCGACUGUCCUUUUUUAUUUUUUAUACUUUGUAUGUAGAAUAAGCCACUUUGUGCCAGUCACAGUCUCAGUCUCAUAUCCGAGACUGAGUUGGAGUAUCGGUGGUGCACGGUGGUGCACGGCACACGGCGGCAGGCCUGGCAUCGGUGGAGAGGUGUCAUGUGGGAUGGUUUACCUCCAAUGCUAUUGGUCCGUGCUUUAAGCUGCGACCGCAAAGACGACCGAUGCGCCGGUGAAGAAGUUCACCGCCACGUUUGAAUCACAACCGUCUUUUUUUAGCUUUCGGUUGGGGUCCGGAUGGGACGGCCUCUGCGGCCCGCCAGUUAGUGACCUCUGGCUCAGAGCAUGUCAACUUCAUUCCUAAUGUUUGUCGGUCUGACCAUAUGUUUUUCAAAUAUUUUUGUAUGCUUAAUCCACCAAAAAUCCCCAGACACUGAAACCUGCGACCAUGGAUCCACCAGAAAAGGAGAGUGAUCCUCCUCAUCCACGUGCUGCCACAUCCACGGAGAAGCCAAGUGUAGAUUAGAGUGGGCAGCUUGAUUAGGUAAGGAUUUUUCUGUCAGGGGACGGAAAGGUAAGGGUCCCUCCCUUCUCUUAUCCCCACGCUGAUUAAUGGCAGAGACCUGCGGUCCGGUGAAAGAUGGCUGAAGCCCAGGGAAACCUCCAGAGAUGGAGCCGCCUGCCAAUUACCUUCCUCAAUGACGGCCGCUCAAUGCCUGGAUGACGGCGACCUGCGCCCGAGGGUCUGAGUGGGUUGCUAUGCAUCUGUGAGUGAGGGGUCGGGGGACUCUUUGUAUCGCCAUCGUUCAUCGAUGGAAUCCUUCUACAGAGCAGUCACGGUGAGUCACGGUGCCUACAUUUAUCGUACCGAGCACACGGGCCGCCAUUUACCAAAGAAGAAGAGAGACGAUUGGAGCGAAACCUCUCUUUUUAUUACAAUUUUGAGGGAGAAGAUGUUGCGCCUUCAAGGUCUGGGCACACGGUCUUCAAACUGCCCCCUUUGGAGAGCUUUCCUCUGAAAUAGAGCAGAUAAGCAGGUUAGAAAGGAGAGUACGCUUCUGCCUCCUGAAUUGGACAUCCAUUUCAAAUGGGACACUUAACACUUAUUCAGAAGCCAGACCUGGAGACAUUGCCGGGCUCCUCGCGGCGCGACCCCGCCGCUCCCCGAGCAGGUCAACGGUCGCCACUGCGGGCAUCAAAAAUGCAUCAGCCCCUCGUCUCACGGCUCAUCAUCAGCGUUGCACCUCGCUAGCUUGCAGGCUGCAGGACCACAGAGCUAAUAGAGGAGAAAGUGCAGGCUUAUGAAGUACUACUGUAUGAGGACGCACACGCUUAGAGGGUUCACUGGGGGGGUUGAUUUCCAACGAGUGGGAACAGAAAAGUUUUGUUUUUGAUGUCCAAGGACUUGACGCUCUCCUCCAUUCGUUCCUUUUCCAGCACACGGAUCAAUUCUCAACCGCAAUGCCGUUAAUUGCUUUUCUAUAUAGUUGCAUCCUGCCUCCCUAAGUCUUCCUGACAAAAAUCAAUGUGAAAGACACAGAAGGCAUAAUGUCGGGCUCCGGGAUAAAGGCAUCAGCAGGAAGGUGCUAGUUGAAAAUAAUUAAAACGUGCUUUCCUCUGUUCAAAGCUUUGUAUAUUUGUCUUCUAUGUUUCUGUGCUGAUCACAUGACUGUCUGCCUCACAGUGAGGUAUCAGCUGGUCAAUGUAGUUUGGCUUCUCAUCUGGAAGAAUCUCAAACCAGUCCGUCUGGUUUCCAAACUACGAAAUUAAAUCAUAGAAGAGAACCGAAAAAAAUACCCCGCGAGUGACAUGAGUUAUUCCCUCCAAAGACGAAUGUGUGCAAGAAGUUUGCAAUCUGGUUUGCAGCAAAAAAAAACGCAGGAGGAAAAAAGGAAAAUAAUAUGCAGGGGUGGAUGGUUUGGGGAGACGUUGGCUGCUAGGAUUGUUUUUUUUUCUGCCCAAAAGGUUGGACGUAAAUGACUAGGUGAAUAAAUGAUGACUUUUCUUGAUAUUUGCUCCGCCCUUUGCUCUCUAAUUGGCUUCAGUUUGACGCUGAGGCCGUUGCCCUAAAACUAUUUAAAACCAGCGAGGUCCAGAUAUUUAACCCGCGGCGUUUGCAAUAAAGCGGUGCGUCCCUGAUCCUGCUUGCGGCCGCAGUUUGCCUUCUAUCUGAUGCUUUUGCCGGACUUCAACUGGCUAAAAUUGUGUCGCGUGUAAUUUGGUGAUUUGAAAGACGGUGAAAGGCGCUUUUUACGACUUUACGUUGGGAGAACAAUCACUUUGAAGAUGUACCCCACACAGGAGCGGAUGUUAAUUUAAAAUAAAAAGAUAUCUUUAACAAUAUAGUAGGUUCCUCAAAUAGCUUUUUCUUUAGGUCCAAAAUGUUUGUCUUGAGGCUGACGUCAAACGGCCUUUUCUUUCUUCCAUCUGCCUCACAAACUAUUUCUUUAGUUUGGUCUUUCUUCGACAGGAUUGAAAUAAGCAAUCCGAAACUCUCGGGAGAAAACUCAUUUCAAACCAUUACGGACACAAAAACAUACAGCCAAUUAGAACGGAAGAAACACAGCAACAUCGGGCCCUUGUCAAAUUAUUUUUUCUCAUUUCCUCUGCGUCUCCCCGGCGAUCAUUACACGCUGGCGGCGUUGCUCCGAGCGGCCGCGGCUCUCUUCUCCCCCGGACUCGCGUGCGUGCUGGGGAGAAACGCAGUGUUCCUCAAACCCGCACUUGCGAAACCGCGAGACAUGUUGGGUUCGUGCAUCCGACCCGUCAAACAAAAAAGAAAAAAAAGAUUUCCUGACAUGAACGCUGAGCGACCUCUGACCUCUUCUUGUACUUUAACACCUAGAACGUUACAGACUACAGGGAGCCUUUCGGUCCAGUAACCGUCGCCUGUCUUCGCCCUGUAAAAACAGACACUUUAGUGAGUGUGGGGAGUGUAGUAGAUUUAUAUUAGCAUACAGUACCAAAACACUUUAUGGGCAGAAUAUUAAUGCAUUUCUCAGAGUAAUGUGACAAGCGCACAUCGUGGCCCGUGGGCUCGACUGAGCAGGGAGAGAAAAAUGGAAAGGGAGAAAGUACUUAAUAGUGUUUUGGUUCCAACGGCUGGAAGGUGAAAAGAAAAUUAGUAUUAUCCAUAAUGUGGUAACAAGAAAAAGUGGAUAGCUCAAAUGGUGCACUGCCAGAUUCAAAAAGGGGAGGAAUUGAAAUGUACGAGAGAUCAUACCGGCUUAAAUGGAAAAACUAGGUUUUGAAAACACUCGCAGCAAAAGGGACUUCUUUCUUUUUAUCACAUCCUUUCAAUGUAAAACUACUGAAAUGUCAAACACCAUUUCAACACAUGUCAACAUUUAAACGGUUCGAGCCCUACAGAAGUGGCAAUUAUUAGCAAUUAGCGCACACAGCGGCAUUCAUUGAAUCCGAGACCGUGUUGAAAUCAUUGCUCUCUGACAGCACCUCUCCGACAUUCGACACCUAAAUCACAAAUCCACAAAGGCAGCGAUCCGCGGGGCCACAAGCAGGAUGCAUUGCUCUCAGUUCAUAGCUCGCUCUUCAUCUCAAAAAUAUCUGAUUUCUUUGAUUGCCCGAUGGCUCAAACAGAGCUAGGAUUACAAAGAGGACGGGUUUCUUUUGUCGACUUAGCAGCCGAUUAAAUCGUCCGCUUCAUCUCGACCCGAUCCAUUGACCUUCUGUCUCCUGGCCACGAAGACGGCGUCCGAAACUCGCUCUUCGGGCCGGCCGAUUGCGCUCCGGUAGAUGUCUAUAACUCUGUGUUCACGCUCGACCACAUCUGGUCCUCCAUUCACAUCCAUUCUCAAAGGAUUGCAUUGAUAUACAAUUGUAUUUAUAUUUAAAGCCGGUCUAAUCAAUAUUUUUGACACGCCUGUGCAACGCGACACUUUGCCAAUAUGUUUAGGUGGCCUCGCUGCCCUUAAGUAACCAAAAAUAAAUAAAUGAACCACAUCAAACUUCAGUGUGCGCACCAAACUCUGUAAGCAUUGACCACCAGGAUAAAUAUGAGUCAUAUGACAACAGGAUUAAAAGACCGAAGAUCUGCAGACGACCAAGAAGAAUUAGGAAAUACUGUGAUUUAGAAAAAAGCUAAAGUUAAAUUAGACAUCGACCUUGUAAAGGCAGAGGGGGGGGGGUUAACAAAUUGCCCAUUUGGAGGUUGGUGAAGUGCAACGUAGCUG
ensembl:lncRNA